CCUACGGGUGGCAGCAGUGAGGAAUAUUGGUCAAUGGCCGGAAGGCUGAACCAGCCAUGCCGCGUGAAGGUCAGUGCCCUAUGGGCGUUAAACUUCUUUUGUGCGGGAGCAAUAAUGGACACGUGUGGCCAGACGAGAGUACCGUACGAAUAAGCAUCGGCUAACUCCGUGCCAGCAGCCGCGGUAAUACGGGGGAUGCAAGUGUUAUCCGGAUUUAUUGGGUUUAAAGGGUGCGUAGGCUGUGAGGUAAGUCAGCGGUGAAAUGCCCCCGCUCAACGGGGUGAAGUGCCAUUGAUACUGCCUGGCUGGAAUGCGGAUGCCGUGGGAGGAAUGUGUGGUGUAGCGGUGAAAUGCAUAGAUAUCACACAGAACACCGAUUGCGAAGGCAUCUCACGAAUCCGCGAUUGACGCUGAUGCACGAAAGCGUGGGUAUCAAACAGGAUUAGAUACCCGUGUAGUC
rnacentral:rRNA from 1 species